rnacentral:rRNA from 1 species
GACGAACGCUGGCGGCGUGCUUAACACAUGCAAGUCGUGCGGUAAGGCCCUUUCGUGGGUACACGAGCGGCGAACGGGUGAGUAACACGUGAGCAACCUUCCCUUCACUUUGGGAUAACUUCCGGAAACGGUGGCUAAUACCGGAUAUGACUUCCUCACGCAUGUGGGGUGGUGGAAAGCCUUAGGGUGGUGGGGGAUGGGCUCGCGGUCUAUCAGCUUGUUGGUGGGGUGAUGGCCUACCGAGGCUUCUACGGGUAGCCGGCCUGAGAGGGUGACCGGCCACACUGGGCCUGAGACACGGCCCAGACUCCUACGGGAGGCAGCAGUGGGGAAUAUUGGACAAUGGGCGAAAGCCUGAUCCAGCAACGCCGCGUGAGGGAUGACGGCCUUCGGGUUGUAAACCUAUUUCGCCUGAGACGAAGCGAGAGUGACGGUAGCAGGUAAAGAAGCACCGGCCAACUACGUG